GUCGAGCGAAUCGAUGGGAGCUUGCUCCCUGAGAUUAGCGGCGGACGGGUGAGUAACACGUGGGCAACCUGCCUAUAAGACUGGGAUAACUUCGGGAAACCGGAGCUAAUACCGGAUACGUUCUUUUCUCGCAUGAGAGAAGAUGGAAAGACGGUUUACGCUGUCACUUAUAGAUGGGCCCGCGGCGCAUUAGCUAGUUGGUGAGGUAAUGGCUCACCAAGGCGACGAUGCGUAGCCGACCUGAGAGGGUGAUCGGCCACACUGGGACUGAGACACGGCCCAGACUCCUACGGGAGGCAGCAGUAGGGAAUCUUCCGCAAUGGACGAAAGUCUGACGGAGCAACGCCGCGUGAACGAAGAAGGCCUUCGGGUCGUAAAGUUCUGUUGUUAGGGAAGAACAAGUACCAGAGUAACUGCUGGUACCUUGACGGUACCUAACCAGAAAGCCACGGCUAACUACGUGCCAGCAGCCGCGGUAAUACGUAGGUGGCAAGCGUUGUCCGGAAUUAUUGGGCGUAAAGCGCGCGCAGGUGGUUCCUUAAGUCUGAUGUGAAAGCCCACGGCUCAACCGUGGAGGGUCAUUGGAAACUGGGGAACUUGAGUGCAGAAGAGGAAAGUGGAAUUCCAAGUGUAGCGGUGAAAUGCGUAGAGAUUUGGAGGAACACCAGUGGCGAAGGCGACUUUCUGGUCUGUAACUGACACUGAGGCGCGAAAGCGUGGGGAGCAAACAGGAUUAGAUACC
rnacentral:rRNA from 1 species